rnacentral:rRNA from 1 species
CACCCGAWMUWCGCAUGGACGAAGUCUGACGGAGCACGCCGCGUGAGUGAUGAAGGCUUUCGGGUCGUAAAACUCUGUUGUUAGGGAAGAACAAGUACAAGAGUAACUGCUYGUACCUUGACGGUACCUAACCAGAAAGCCACGGCUAACUACGUGCCAGCAGCCGCGGUAAUACGUAGGUGGCAAGCGUUAUCCGGAAUUAUUGGGCGUAAAGCGCGCGCAGGCGGUUUCUUAAGUCUGAUGUGAAAGCCCACGGCUCAACCGUGGAGGGUCAUUGGAAACUGGGGAACUUGAGUGCAGAAGAGAAAAGCGGAAUUCCACGUGUAGCGGUGAAAUGCGUAGAGAUGUGGAGGAACACCAGUGGCGAAGGCGGCUUUUUGGUCUGUAACUGACGCUGAGGCGCGAAAGCGUGGGGAGCAAACAGGAUUAGAUACMCYYKGKAGUC